rnacentral:rRNA from 1 species
GGUUAAGCUAGUAAGAGCGCACGGAGGAUGCCUAGGCACUAGGAGCCGAAGAAGGACGUGGCGAACAACGAUACCGCCUCGGGGAGCCGUAAGCAGGCUUUGAUCCGGGGAUUUCCGAAUGGGGAAACCCAGCAGUCGUAAUGGACUGUUACUAACAACUGAAUACAUAGGUUGUUAAGAGGCAUACCGGGGGAACUGAAACAUCUAAGUACCCCGAGGAAGAGAAAACAAAAGUGAUUCCGUCAGUAGCGGCGAGCGAACGCGGAUUAGCCCAAACCAAGGAGCUUGCUCCUUGGGGUUGUAGGACGUUUCACAUG